GAGUACACGUAAGUAACCUGCCUUUAAGACGAGGAUAACAAUUGGAAACAGUUGCUAAGACUGGAUAGGAAAUUAGAAGGCAUCUUUUAAUUUUUAAAAGACCUUUUUCGAAAGGUAUACUUAAAGAGGGGCUUGCGGCACAUUAGUUAGUUGGUAGGGUAAAAGCCUACCAAGACCAUGAUGUGUAGCUGGACUGACGAGGUUGAMYAGCCACAUUGGGACUGAGACACUGCCCAAACUCCUACGGGAGGCAGCAGUAGGGAAUUUUCGGCAAUGGAGGAAACUCUGACCGAGCAACGCCGCGUGAACGAUGAAGUAUUUCGGUWUGUAAAGUUCUUUUAUUGGAGAAGAAAAAAUAGUGGAAAAACUAUCUUGACGAUAUUCAAUGAAUAAGCCCCGGCAAACUAUGUGCCAGCAGCCGCGGUAAUACAUAGGGGGCGAGCGUUAUCCGGAAUUAUUGGGCGUAAAGGGUGCGUAGGCGGUUUGGUAAGUCUAUAGUUUAAUUUCAGUGCUUAACACUGUUCUGCUAUAGAAACUAUCAGACUAGAGUGAGAUAGAGGCAAGUGGAAUUCCAUGUGUAGCGGUAAAAUGCGUAAAUAUAUGGAGGAACACCAGAGGCGUAGGCGGCUUGCUGGGUCUUUACUGACGCUGAGGCACGAAAGCGUGGGGAGCAAACAGGAUUAGAUACCCUGGUAGUCCACGCCGUAAACGAUGAGUACUAAGUGUCGGGGAAACUCGGUACUGAAGUUAACACAUUAAGUACUCCGCCUGAGUAGUACGUACGCAAGUAUGAAACUUAAAGGAAUUGACGGGACUCCGCACAAGCGGUGGAUCAUGUUGUUUAAUUCGAAGAUACACGAAAAACCUUACCAGGUCUUGACAUACUCUGCAAAGCUAUAGCAAUAUAGUGGAGGUUAUCAGGGAUACAGGUGGUGCAUGGUUGUCGUCAGCUCGUGUCGUGAGAUGUUAGGUUAAGUCCUAAAACGAGCGCAACCCUUGUCACUAGUUGCCAGCAUGUUAUGAUGGGCACUUUAGUGAGACUGCCAAUGAAAAAUUGGAGGAAGGUGAGGAUCACGUCAAAUCAUCAUGCCCCUUAUGAUCUGGGCUACAAACGUGAUACAAUGGCUGUUACAAAGAGUAGCUAAAACGCGAGUUUAUAGCCAAUCUCAUAAAAGCAGUCUCAGUUCGGAUUGAAGUCUGCAACUCGACUUCAUGAAGUUGGAAUCGCUAGUAAUCGCGAAUCAGCAUGUCGCGGUGAAUACGUUCUCGGGGUUUGUACACACCGCCCGUCAAACCACGAAAGUUGGUAAUACUCGAAAACGGUAGCCUAACUCUCG
rnacentral:rRNA from 1 species